rnacentral:rRNA from 1 species
GACGAACGCUGGCGGCGCGCCUAACACAUGCAAGUCGAACGAAGAAUGUUGAAUGAAGCUUUCGGGUGGAAUUUGAUAUAUCUUAGUGGCGAACGGGUGAGUAACACGUGAGUAACCUGCCUUUCAGAGGGGGACAACAUUUGGAAACGAAUGCUAACACCGCAUAAGACCACAGUACCACAUGGUACAGUGGCCAAAGGAGCAAUCCGCUGAAAGAUGGACUCGCGUCCGAUUAGCUAGAUGGUGAGGUAACGGCCCACCAUGGCGACGAUCGGUAGCCGGACUGAGAGGUUGAUCGGCCACAUUGGGACUGAGACACGGCCCAGACUCCUACGGGAGGCAGCAGUGGGGAAUAUUGCACAAUGGACGAAAGUCUGAUGCAGCGACGCCGCGUGAGGGAAGAAGG